rnacentral:rRNA from 1 species
UACGUAGGGGGCAAGCGUUGUCCGGAAUCAUUGGGCGUAAAGAGCGUGUAGGCGGCCAGAAAAGUCCGCUGUGAAAACUCGAGGCUCAACUUCGAGCUGUCGGUGGAAACUUUCUGGCUAGAGUCCGGAAGAGGAGAAUGGAAUUCCUGGUGUAGCGGUGAAAUGCGCAGAUAUCAGGAAGAACACCCGUGGCGAAGGCGGCACUCUGGGCCGAUACUGACACUGAGGAGCGAAAGCGUGGGGAGCGAACAGG